rnacentral:rRNA from 1 species
GAGUUUGAUCUUGGCUCAGAUUGAACGCUGGCGGAAUGCUUUACACAUGCAAGUCGAGCGGCAGCGCGGGGCAACCUGGCGGCGAGCGGCGAACGGGUGAGUAAUGCAUCGGAACGUGUCCAUGUCGUGGGGGAUAGCCCGGCGAAAGCCGGAUUAAUACCGCAUACGCCCGAGAGGGGAAAGUGGGGGACCGCAAGGCCUCACGCGAUUGGGUCGGCCGAUGUCCGAUUAGCUAGUUGGCGGGGUAAAGGCCCACCAAGGCGAUGAUCGGUAGCUGGUCUGAGAGGAUGAUCAGCCACACUGGGACUGAGACACGGCCCAGACUCCUACGGGAGGCAGCAGUGGGGAAUUUUGGACAAUGGGGGCAACCCUGAUCCAGCCAUUCCGCGUGAGUGAAGAAGGCCUUCGGUUGUAAG